rnacentral:tRNA from 1 species
UGGGGUGUCGCCAAGCGGUAAGGCACGGGACUUUGGAUCCUGCACACGGAGGUUCGAAUCCUCCCACCCCAG